UCGACGAUGGGAAUCGCGGCGAUUUAAAAACCGGAUUCUAAAAAACAGACAGAGAGAAGACGAUUUUACGGUUUAUUGACGAUUGCGUUCUUCACUGGGUCCGUUCCAGGGCGCGCCACCAGCGGUUGUUUACGAUUGGGUUUCAAUAGGUAUAGGUAAUAAAUUAAGGUCCGUGAUCGAAGAAACGCGCGAUUAAAAACGACAAACGAUUUUAUUUUUUCAUAUACGUACAUAACAUAAUAGUUUUCGUUUUUUAUUUUUUUUUUUUCAAAAAAAAAAAGAUCGUAAUGAACAAAAUUACAUAAAAAAAAAAAAAAUUAUUAUAAUAUUAUUAUCAUAUACGAAAAGUCCUUUUAUGUUUAUAUCAAGAUUAAAUAAAAUAAAAAAAAAACAAGACAAAUCUCUAUCGAAUGACGCGUACAUAAUUUAAUUUUUGUCUUUAAUAUUAAAAAAAAAAAAAAAGUAAUAAUAAUAAUAACGAAAUUAAACGUAAUAAUAUAAUAUUACAGUAUAUAGAGUUGUAUGUUGUUAUUAAAAAUAAUUAGAAAAAAAAAAAAGGAAAAAAGACCGGGAGACCAGUAAACGGUCAUUAAACACUUUUAGAGUUCUAUACGCUAGGUACAAAAUAUUAAAAAUUUUAUUAAUCAUCUUCUUGAUAAUGGAUUAUCAAUUAAAAAAAAAAAAAAAAAAAAAAAAAAAA